rnacentral:rRNA from 1 species
AUUGAACGCUGGCGGCAUGCCUAACACAUGCAAGUCGAACGGUAGCAGGUCCUUCGGGAUGCUGACGAGUGGCGGACGGGUGCGUAACGCGUGGGAAUCUGCCCAAUAGUGGGGGAUAACCCGGGGAAACUCGGGCUAAUACCGCAUACUCCCUACGGGGGAAAGCGGGGGACCGUAAGGCCUCGCGCUAUUGGAUGAGCCCGCGUCCGAUUAGCUUGUUGGUGGGGUAAAGGCCUACCAAGGCGACGAUCGGUAGCUGGUCUGAGAGGACGACCAGCCACACUGGGACUGAGACACGGCCCAGACUCCUACGGGAGGCAGCAGUGGGGAAUAUUGGACAAUGGGGGAAACCCUGAUCCAGCAAUGCCGCGUGUGUGAAGAAGGCCUGCGGGUUGUAAAGCACUUUCGGCAGGAAAGAAAAGUCAUGCGCCAAUACCGCAUGACCUUGACGUUACCUGCAAAAGAAGCACCGGCUAACUCCGUG